rnacentral:rRNA from 1 species
UACGGAGGGGGCUAGCGUUGCUCGGAAUGACUGGGCGUAAAGGGCGCGUAGGCGGAUUGCUUUGUCGGGCGUGAAAUUCCAGGGCUUAACCUUGGGGCUGCGUUCGAGACGGGUGAUCUUGAGUUCGGAAGAGGGUCGUGGAAUUCCCGAGUGUAGAGGUGAAAUUCGUAGAUAUUGGGAAGAACACCGGUGGCGAAGGCGGCGACCUGGUCCGAGACUGACGCUGAGGCGCGAUAGCGUGGGGAUC